rnacentral:rRNA from 1 species
UACUCCUACGGGAGGCAGCAGUGGGGAAUAUUGCACAAUGGGGGAAACCCUGAUGCAGCGACGCCGCGUGAGUGAAGAAGUAUUUCGGUAUGUAAAGCUCUAUCAGCAGGGAAGAUAAUGACAGUACCUGACUAAGAAGCCCCGGCUAACUACGUGCCAGCAGCCGCGGUAAUACGUAGGGGGCAAGCGUUAUCCGGAUUUACUGGGUGUAAAGGGAGCGUAGACGGAGUGGCAAGUCUGAAGUGAAAACCCUGGGCUUAACCUGGGGACUGCUUUGGAAACUGUUAAUCUAGAGUGUUGGAGAGGUAAGUGGAAUUCCUGGUGUAGCGGUGAAAUGCGUAGAUAUCAGGAAGAACACCGGAGGCGAAGGCGGCUUACUGGACAAUAACUGACGUUGAGGCUCGAAAGCGUGGGGAUCAAACAGGAUUAGAUACCCUGGUAGUCCACGCUGUAAACGAUGAAUACUAGGUGUCGGGGAGCAAAGCUUCUCGGUGCCGUCGCAAACGCAAUAAGUAUUCCACCUGGGGAGUACGUUCGCAAGAAUGAAACUCAAAGGAAUUGACGGA